GCUAUUUUGGCAGAAUAAAUGUGAUGGUUUUAGAAAUCAUAAAUAUAUAAAAAUUAUAUAAAUAGUA
rnacentral:tRNA from 2 species